rnacentral:rRNA from 1 species
CUACGGGACGCUGCAGUGAGGAAUAUUGCACAAUGGGGGGAACCCUGAUGCAGCAACGCCGCGUGGAGGAUGACGCAUUUCGGUGUGUAAACUCCUUUUAUAUGUCAAGAAAAUGACGGUAGCAUAUGAAUAAGCACCGGCUAACUCCGUGCCAGCAGCCGCGGUAAUACGGAGGGUGCAAGCGUUACUCGGAAUCACUGGGCGUAAAGGACGCGUAGGCGGGUUGGAAAGUCAGGUGUGAAAUCCUACAGCUUAACUGUAGAACUGCACUUGAAACUUCUAAUCUAGAGUAUGGGAGGGGGAGAUGGAAUUAGUGGUGUAGGGGUAAAAUCCGUAGAUAUUACUAGGAAUACCUAAAGCGAAGGCGAUCUCCUGGAACAUUACUGACGCUAAGGCGUGAAAGCGUGGGGAGCAAACAGGAUUAGAUAACCUAGUAGUC